GUUUGAUCCUGGCUCAGGAUGAACGCUAGCGGCAGGCUUAACACAUGCAAGUCGAGGGGCAGCAUAAUGGAUAGCAAUAUCUAUGGUGGCGACCGGCGCACGGGUGCGUAACGCGUAUGCAACCUACCUUUAACAGGGGGAUAACACUGAGAAAUUGGUACUAAUACCCCAUAAUAUCAUAGAAGGCAUCUUUUAUGGUUGAAAAUUCCGAUGGUUAGAGAUGGGCAUGCGUUGUAUUAGCUAGUUGGUGGGGUAACGGCUCACCAAGGCGACGAUACAUAGGGGGACUGAGAGGUUAACCCCCCACACUGGUACUGAGACACGGACCAGACUCCUACGGGAGGCAGCAGUGAGGAAUAUUGGUCAAUGGGCGAGAGCCUGAACCAGCCAAGUAGCGUGAAGGAUGACUGCCCUAUGGGUUGUAAACUUCUUUUAUAUGGGAAUAAAGUGAGCCACGUGUGGCUUUUUGUAUGUACCAUACGAAUAAGGAUCGGCUAACUCCGUGCCAGCAGCCGCGGUAAUACGGAGGAUCCAAGCGUUAUCCGGAUUUAUUGGGUUUAAAGGGUGCGUAGGCGGUUUGAUAAGUUAGAGGUGAAAUCCCGGGGCUUAACUCCGGAACUGCCUCUAAUACUGUUAGACUAGAGAGUAGUUGCGGUAGGCGGAAUGUAUGGUGUAGCGGUGAAAUGCUUAGAGAUCAUACAGAACACCGAUUGCGAAGGCAGCUUACCAAACUAUAUCUGACGUUGAGGCACGAAAGCGUGGGGAGCAAACAGGAUUAGAUACCCUGGUAGUCCACGCAGUAAACGAUGAUAACUCGUUGUCGGCGAUACACAGUCGGUGACUAAGCGAAAGCGAUAAGUUAUCCACCUGGGGAGUACGUUCGCAAGAAUGAAACUCAAAGGAAUUGACGGGGGCCCGCACAAGCGGAGGAACAUGUG
rnacentral:rRNA from 1 species